rnacentral:rRNA from 1 species
CACGUAGGGGGCGAGCGUUGUCCGGAUUCAUUGGGCGUAAAGCGCGCGCAGGCGGCUCGGAAAGUCGGGUGUGAAAACUCGGGGCUCAACCCCGGGCGUGCAUCCGAUACUGCCGGGCUUGAGGCAGGUGAGGGGAGAUCGGAAUUCCUGGUGUAGCGGUGAAAUGACGCAGAUAUCAGGAGGAACACCGGUGGCGAAGGCGGAUCUCUGGGCCUGUCCUGACGCUGAGGCGCGAAAGCUAGGGGAGCAAACGGG